rnacentral:tRNA from 1 species
UGGGUCAGUUGGUAGAGCACAAGUUUCUUAAUUUUGUGGUCGUGGGUUCAAGCCCCAC